UGUCCUUCUGGUAUGGGUUUUCAGUUCAGAAUAAUGCUUUUUCCACAUCCGCCCUUUUCCUAGGACUUCUGAGAAGAUGUUGAUAGUGGUUGUGGUGGGGGCAUUGCUCCCCAUCAUAACCAUCUCGGAGAGUAACUUAGUGUUUGAUGCUGCACUUGCUUGCACUUCCUUAAGUUGACCACUGGCUGAGAGUGUAUGAGGAAGGACUGACGAAGUUAUCAACAAGUAACUUUGUAACUUGUACUGGCUGCUCGUGGGCCCCCCAACCCAUUAUGAAUAGCAGUGUACCCUUGUAGGACAUCAUCCUCCUAUUGUGGAAUAGCCUUUCAUGAGUUAUUUCUCAGACUUUGCUUGAUGGAAUUUAUUAAGUGUUUUUGCAUCUAAAUGCAAAAAAAAUAUGUUUAUUGAACAGUUUCUAUAAGAAUACUAGGAUGAAAAAGGCAACAGAUGCCUUCGGGGACCUGUGGGCAGGGUAUGGGUAGAGUGCCCUGUUGGGGUCAAACAUAGUCCAGCACAUCUCUAAUUACUUGGGUGCCUUUCUAGACCAUUGUUGGGCAGACUCCUUCCUUAGCCUUAACGUUUCCUUCACUGAUAUUAGACAAACCUGGAGACUUUCUUCCCCUCAGCCACCUGCAAACACAUAUCUUCUGUUUUCUUCAGUGGUAGGCGUGGCUGUUGCCAUGGAGGAGCUGUCCUGGGGAAGUGGGGGCCGAGUGGGUAGAGCAGUUAUGCUUUUGAUUGGCCAGACUCGCUGUCCCAGGAAGAGGUCACCUGGCAUCUGGUCUGCCCCAGCGAGGGUGAGGUACCUUCGUUUUGACUCAGUUCCUGUGGAUAGCUGCUUGGUCUGACGUUCCAGAAAGGAUCCUGUUUCCUGACAGCCAGAGACCCGCACCAGGGAGACCAUCGAGUUCUGGGUCCUGAGCACCACCUGGCCAUCAGCCCUAAGGAGUGCCAGCCUUGGGUCCGAGAGAGACCAGAGAACUGCCAGGCACCGCCCUG
rnacentral:lncRNA from 1 species